GACGAACGCUGGCGGCGUGCUUAACACAUGCAAGUCGAACGGACGAUCGAGGCUUGCCUUGAUCGUUAGUGGCGGACGGCUGAGUAACGCGUAGGUGACCUGCCCCGAAGUGGGGAUAACUGCCCGAAAGGGUGGCUAAUACCGCAUGUGGUGGUUCGUUCAAUCGACCCAUCAAAGCAGCAAUGCGCUUCGGGAGGGGCCUGCGUCCGAUUAGCUCGUUGGUGGGGUAACGGCUCACCAAGGCGACGAUCGGUAGGUGGUCUGAGAGGACGAUCACCCAGACUGGGACUGAGACACGGCCCAGACUCCUACGGGAGGCAGCAGUCGGGAAUUUGCGCAAUGGGCGAAAGCCUGACGCAGCAACGCCGCGUGAGGGA
rnacentral:rRNA from 1 species